AUUGAACGCUGGCGGCAGGCUUAACACAUGCAAGUCGAGCGGAGCGAGGGUGCUUGCACCUUAGCUUAGCGGCGGACGGGUGAGUAAUGCUUAGGAAUCUGCCUAUUAGUGGGGGACAACAUUCCGAAAGGAAUGCUAAUACAGCAUACGUCCUACGGGAGAAAGCAGGGGAUCUUCGGACCUUGCGCUAAUAGAUGAGCCUAAGUCGGAUUAGCUAGUUGGUGGGGUAAAGGCCUACCAAGGCGACGAUCUGUAGCGGGUCUGAGAGGAUGAUCCGCCACACUGGGACGGAGACACGGCCCAGACUCCUACGGGAGGCAGCAGUGGGGAAUAUUGGACAAUGGGGGGAACCCUGAUCCAGCCAUGCCGCGUGUGUGAAGAAGGCCUUAUGGUUGUAAAGCACUUUAAGCGAGGAGGAGGCUACUGAGACUAAUACUCUUGGAUAGUGGACGUUACUCGCAGAAUAAGCACCGGCUAACUCUGUGCCAGCCGCCGCCGUAAGAC
rnacentral:rRNA from 1 species